UACGUAGGGGGCAAGCGUUGUCCGGAUUUAUUGGGCGUAAAGAGCGUGUAGGCGGUUUGGUAGGUCCGCUGUGAAAACUCGAGGCUCAACCUCGAGACGCCGGUGGAAACCAUCAGGCUAGAGUCCGGAAGAGGAGAGUGGAAUUCCUGGUGUAGCGGUGAAAUGCGCAGAUAUCAGGAAGAACACCCGUGGCUAAGGCGGCUCUCUAGUACGGUACUGACGCUGAGACGCGAAAAGCGUGGGGGAGCGAAACAGGG
rnacentral:rRNA from 1 species